ensembl:lncRNA
CCCCCCCCAAAGGUGCGGACUCCCUGCCGCAAACCUAAACAUAUAUGGGAGGGUCUGGGUGGGCAUCUAACUUUGGUGGCGGCUCUGGUUCUGGACGCUGCCCCCCUUCUUUACAUUGAGCCAUCCGCCCUUGUAGCACUGACCCGUGGAUCAUCGCCGGAGGCUCAUUGCUGCGGUUCAUCGCUGGCGACCCCGGACUGGGAACCUUUCCUGUAGACCCCGGACUGGGGACCGUCGCUGGAGACCCCGGGCUGGUGACACGCACCUCAGGGCGAGUGCGGGGAGGAGGAACAGGGCGUACUGGGCUCUGGAGACGCACAGGAAGCCUGGUGCGUGGUGCCGGCACUGGUGGUACCGGGCUGGGGACACGCACCUCAGGGCGAGUGUGGGGAGCAGGAACAGUACACACCGGGUUGUGACGGUACACUGGAGACCUGGUGUGUAUAGCCGGCAUAAAUUUUUCUGGAACUUUGACACGUUUCAGGAUGAAUACGAGGAACUGACACAGGUGGCAUUGGACAGCUAACAUGCUCCUCAGGGCGAAUGCCAUGCAUACUACACCAAACCAACAGCUCUCUCUCUUCACUCUCCUCCAAUCUGUCCAAUAACUCCUCGACAAUCUCAGACUCACCCCUCAACUUCGCCGACUGCUCCAUGUGCCUCCCCAAAAAAUCUUGGGGUUUCUGUGGCCUACCUCCCCGACGUUGUUGCUGUCCUCUCUUACUUCUCUGUUCCUCCUGCUUUGUUUCCACCUGCCUCCAUGGUAGGCAAUCCUCUCCUGCCAAAAUCUCCUCCCACGUCCAGGAUCCUUUACCGUCCAGUAUUUCGUCCCAGGUCCAUUUUUCCACCAAGCGCUGUUCCUCCCUUUCACGCUGCUUGGUCCAGGUUUGAUGGGUUAUUCUAUCACGUUCGUCAUAACGAGGAGACCAAGGCGCAGCAUGAUAUGAAUACAUUCCUCUUUAAUAAAAGAGAACACUGAACAAACUAAACAAAUCAACAAAACAACCGUGAAGCUAUAUAUAACGAGUGUUGACAUACAACUAACCAUCAACAAUAACCCACAAAAUACCCAAGGAAUAUGGCUACCUAAAUAUGGUCCCCAAUCAGAGACAACGAUAAACAGCUGCCUCUGAUUGAGAACCAAUCCAGGCAACCAUAGACAUAUAAACCCCUAGACUAGUAAACACCAUAAACAUACAAAAACCCUAGACAGGAUAAAAACACAUAUACCCACCCUCGUCACACCCUGACCUGACCAAAAUAAUACAGAACACAUGGAUAACUAAGGUCAGGGCGUGACAGAUGCGAUAAGAUCAUGGGAUCAGAUCAUCCCACUCUACCUUUUGUGGUUGAGGUAGACGCAUCGGAGGUGGGUCUGGGGGAAGUUUGGACACAACGACAGGGGAGACCCACUAAAAUUGUAUCCUUGUGCUUUCUUCUCCGAGAAACUGUGCCCCGCAGAGAGCAAUUAUGAAAUCGGCGAUCGGGAGCUCUCGGCGGUGAAGUAGCUGGAGGAUGCCAAGGAACGAUUCGUCAUCCUCACCGACCAUCGGAACCUUGAGUACAUAUGGAGACUGAAUCUGCGCCAAGCCAGGACUAGAAGACACUGGGUAUCUCUCCUCUGAUGGCUGCCAUGAAUGGUCACGUCCCUGCGGUCAAGCUGCUGCUGGACAUGGGCUCAGACAUCAACACUCCGAUCGAGACCAAACGUAACACAGCACAGACCCUGGCCUGCCAACGUGGAGCACUGCGUCAAGGUGAGAGCAGCCAUCAUCAGCUGAACCUGACAUGUUAUGUUAUCUGGGAUAGAGUCAAAGACAUUAGGAAUGAUGUUUGGUGUUAGACUGUUUGGUGCAGUAUGUCACUAACCCAUACGUUCUCUCUGAUUGGUCAAACUCCUCUCAUGGAGGGUGUGUCAGGUGGCUAUGCUGAGAUGGGGCAUGUUCUGCUGGACAAGAGCGCUUACGUCACCUGUCCAAACCUUCCAAGACACCGUGUGCACCAUUGCUGCAGACAAGGGCCACUACAAGUUCUGUGAGCUCCUCAUCAACAGCUAAUUACUGUUACAGUCUACCUUCAGUAUGAGACCAACAUCUCCUCCUGGGACAACGGAUACACGUGACUCCUGGGCAGUGCAGCGUUUACCUGGAGGUUUAUCACGCAAUCCCCCUGUCGAUGGGGUGGUAAUUGGGUCGCCUUCUUUUUACAGAAGGCGAUAGCCAAAUCGGCAUACUCAGUGGGAAUGCGCACGUUGGAAACCUGGUCUGGACUCUCCACCAUCGUCGCACCGAUGGAAACUCCUACACACCUGCCUGAACACUCAUCAGACCACCCCUGGAAAGCUCCCUGUCUCCACGAAAUCUUAGAAUUGUGAAUAGCCAGCCAGGGAAUCCGCAGCACCACCGGAAACGAUAAGGAACAGACUAAUCCGCUCCUUAUGAUCCCCCCACGUAAUCAUCUCCAGAGGAAUCGUGGCCUCCCUGACCAGCCCUGACCCUAACGGUUGACUAUCUAAGGAGUGCACAGGGAAGGGGGGGGUCUACCUGUACUAACGGAAUCCUCAACCUCUGGGCGAGUCCGCAAUCUAUAAAGUUCUCAGCUGCGCCUGAAUCGACUAGCGCCUUUGCUGGAGAGAAGGAGAAAACUUAAGGAAACAAAUUAAUAAAAACAUGUGACUAACAGGAAGCUCUGGGUGAGUGUGGUGCUGACUCACCUGGGGUGACCGAGGAGUGUUCUGCCUGCCCUCUCGACUCCCAGAUGGACUCCUCCAGCACCGACCGGAAGUGUGCCCUCUCCGGCCACAGCUGGUACAGGAGAAGCCUCCUCCUCCGGUCUCCCUAGAUGCAGCCCCCCCCCCCUAGCUCCAUAGGCAUGGGAGCGGGAGGGCCAGGAGGUGGAACAGACAGGACCCUGAGCAGCCAGCAGAUGGUCUAGCCGGAUGGACAUGUCUAUGAGCUCGUACAGGCAAAGCGUAGUGUCCCGACAAGCCAGCUCCCUGUGGACGUCCUCUCUCAGGCUACACCUGUAAUGGUCUAUCAGGGCCAUGUCGUUCCACCCCGCUCCAGAGGCCAAGGUCCGGAAUUCCAGCGCAAAGUCCUGCACGCUCCUCGUCCCCUGCCUGAGAUGGAACAAUCUCUCACCCGCCGCUUGGCCCUCCACAGGGUGAUCGAACACGGCCCGGAAACGGCGGGUGAACUACGGGUAGUGGGCCCUCGCCGAGUCAGGCCCGUUCCAGACGGCAUUGGCCCACUCCAGGGCUCUUCCCGUCAGGCAAGAGACGACGACACUCACGCUCUCCUCGUCCGAGGGAGCCGGCCGAACGGUGGCCAGGUAAAGCUCUAGUUGAAGCAGGAAUCCCUGGCACCCCGCCACCGCUCCAUCGUACUCCCUCGGAGGCGCAAUACGCAGAGUGCUGGUACCGGAUCCCGCUGGAGGAGAUGGUAGCGUUGCCG